rnacentral:ribozyme from 1 species
UAUUGUUCUCGCUCUUUCGAGGAGGGCAACAGGAUUGAAAAAAUCAACCACGGACCGACAGUAUUUUUCCGAAAGCCAAAAAAUGAUCUCUCUACAAAAAGUUUUUGAGGCGAAAUUUCUGUUUGUGGCCAACAAU